rnacentral:lncRNA from 1 species
UUUAGUAGAGAUGGGUUUCACCAUGUUGGCCGGGCUGCUGUCAAACUCCUGACCUCAAGUGAUCCACUCACCUCAGCCUCCAAAAGUGCUGGGAUUAUAGGUGUGAGCCACUGCACCCAGCCUUCUCUCCCUCUUUUGUUUCUCCUUACUUCCCUCUUCUCUUCCCUCCCUCUCUCCCUCUUUCUUUCCUUCCUUCCUAAUAUAUUUUUUGCUGAGUACCUAUAAUGUGCCAUGCAUACUCUAGACCCUGCGAAAGGACUCACCUCAAGGAAUUCACAUUCUCGACAAGGGGAGACAGACACAAAGAAAUAAGCAGGGGGUACCUGUGCAGACUCGUUCCCUGAGUAAAUUGUGCAUCGUGGGAGUUUGGUGUACAGAUUAUUUCAUCACCCAGGAACCAGCAUGAGACGCAGUAGGUAGCGUUUUGAUCCUCACCCUCCUUCCACCGUCCACCCUCAAGUAGACUCCAGC